UGCGUAGGCGGGAUAUUAAGUCAGUGGUGAAAGCCCCGAGCUCAACUUGGGAACUGCCAUUGAAACUGAUAUUCUUGAAUAUAGUUGAGGUAGGCGGAAUACAACAUGUAGCGGUGAAAUGCAUAGAUAUGUUGUAGAACACCAAUUGCGAAGGCAGCUUACUAGACUAUUAUUGACGCUGAGGCACGAAAGCGUGGGGAGCGAACAGGAUUAGAUACCCUGGUAGUCC
rnacentral:rRNA from 1 species